rnacentral:tRNA from 1 species
UAUUUUCGAAACGGGUAGACGCUACGGACUUAAAAUCCGUUGGCUUUAUUGACCGUGAGGGUUCAAGUCCCUCUACCCCCA